rnacentral:rRNA from 1 species
UACGUAGGGUGCGAGCGUUAAUCGGAAUUACUGGGCGUAAAGCGUGCGCAGGCGGUUGGCAAAGUCAGCUGUGAAAGCCCCGGGCUCAACCUGGGAAUUGCGGUUGAAACUAGUCGACUAGAAUCUGGCAGAGGGGGUGGAAUUCCACGGUGUAGCAGUGAAAUGCGUAGAGAUGUGGAGAACACCGAUGGCGAAGGGACAGCCCCCU